rnacentral:rRNA from 1 species
AAGACUAACUUCUGCGAAAGCAUUUGCCAAGGAUGUUUUCAUUAAUCAAGAACGAAAGUCAGGGGAUCGAAGACGAUUAGAUACCGUCGUAGUCUUGACCAUAAACUAUGCCGACUAGGGAUCGGACGGUGUUUUUUAGACCCGUUCGGAACCUUAUGAGAAAUCAAAGUCUUUGGGUACCGGGGGGAGUAUGGUCGCAAGGCUGAAACUUAAAGGAAUUGACGGAAGGGCACCACCAGGAGUGGAGCCUGCGGCUUAAUUUGACUCAACACGGGGAAAC